rnacentral:rRNA from 1 species
CCUACGGGAGGCAGCAGUGGGGAAUAUUGCGCAAUGGGGGCAACCCUGACGCAGCCAUGCCGCGUGAAUGAAGAAGGCCUUCGGGUUGUAAAGUUCUUCCGGUGACGAGGAAGGCGCGAUGUUUAAUAGGCAUCACGACUGACGUUAAUCACAGAAGAAGCACCGGCUAACUCCGUGCCAGCAGCCGCGGUAAUACGGAGGGUGCGAGCGUUAAUCGGAAUAACUGGGCGUAAAGGGCACGCAGGCGGCUAUUUAAGUGAGGUGUGAAAGCCCCGGGCGUAACCUGGGAAUUGCAUUUCAGACUGGGUAGCUAGAGUACCUUAGGGAGGGGUAGAAUUCCAUGUGUAGCGGUGAAAUGCGUAGAGAUGUGGAGGAAUACCGAAGGCGAAGGCAGCCCCUUGGGAAUGUACUGACGCUCAUGUGCGAAAGCGUGGGGAGCAAACAGGAUUAGAUACCCGAGUAGUC